UGGCGGCGUGCCUAAUACAUGCAAGUCGAACGCUUCUUUUCCCACCGGAGCUUGCUCCACCGGGAAAAGAGGAGUGGCGAACGGGUGAGUAACACGUGGGUAACCUGCCCAUCAGAAGGGGAUAACACUUGGAAACAGGUGCUAAUACCGUAUAACAAUCGAAACCGCAUGGUUUCGUUUUGAAAGGCGCUUUACGGUGCCGCUGAUGGAUGGACCCGCGGUGCAUUAGCUAGUUGGUGAGGUAACGGCUCACCAAGGCCACGAUGCAUAGCCGACCUGAGAGGGUGAUCGGCCACAUUGGGACUGAGACACGGCCCAAACUCCUACGGGAGGCAGCAGUAGGGAAUCUUCGGCAAUGGACGAAAGUCUGACCGAGCAACGCCGCGUGAGUGAAGAAGGUUUUCGGAUCGUAAAACUCUGUUGUUAGAGAAGAACAAGGGUGAGAGUAACUGUUCACCCCUUGACGGUAUCUAACCAGAAAGCCACGGCUAACU
rnacentral:rRNA from 1 species